UACGAAUGGUGCAAACGUUGCUCGGAAUUAUUGGGCGUAAAGCGCACGUAGGCGGCAUUGCAAGUCGGAUGUGAAAUCCCUCGGCUUAACCAAGGAAGUGCAUCCGAAACUGCAGUGCUUGAGUACUUAAGAGGAUCGCGGAAUUCCCGGUGUAGAGGUGAAAUUCGUAGAUAUCGGGAGGAACACCAGUGGCGAAGGCGGCGAUCUGGGAAGAUACUGACGCUGAGGUGCGAAAGCGUGGGGAGCGAACAGG
rnacentral:rRNA from 1 species